GCAACCUGCUGGCAGCCAAAAAGGUUGGAGAGCGCCUUUAGAAAUUUUAAAUCGUCACGUGACGCGAAGGAAGCGCUCCUAGUUUUCAUUAUUGGUAAUACUAAACAUCGUACAGCUUCAAAAGUAGCUUCUACUUUGUCGAAUAUUUUUGUAUAAGUGUCAAUAAGUACAUUCGUUUAAAUUGAAGAAAUCAUCAUUAAUGUGUUAAAAUUAUUAAGAUCAUUCUUCUAUUGGUGACAUGACGUUCAACAAUUAUUAUCAUUUCCAGCACUUUUUUGACUGAAAUGGCGCUUACCUAAAUUCUUCCUUAGUACGGCAGAAUCAGAAAGGCCAAUUAUAUGGUGAAUGGUUGGUGCGGCCGCGGAGCUUUUCCGCCAAGAAUGAGUUUACGAAAAUCGGCUGCAGCGCCUGCAAAACACCAUGAAAUUUAAUAAUAAUUAUUUUUUUUUUACACUUCGAUAAAUGUACAAUAAAGUCCUCAAAUCAUAAUUUUGAUUGGCUUCAUAGUUUCUUUAAAAAAACAAUCACAAAAAACACCUAUUUUUUC